rnacentral:rRNA from 1 species
CCUUAGUUACCAGCAUUAAGUUGGGUACUUUAAGGAGACUGCCGGUGACAAACCGGAGGAAGGUGGGGACGACGUCAAGUCAUCAUGGCCCUUACGAGUAGGGCUACACACGUGCUACAAUGGCGAGUACAAAGGGAUGCAAACUGGUGACAGUAAGCGGACCCCUUAAAGCUCGUCGUAGUCCGGAUUGGAGUCUGCAACUCGACUCCAUGAAGUCGGAAUCGCUAGUAAUCGUAGGUCAGCAUACUACGGUGAAUACGUUCCCGGGCCUU